rnacentral:rRNA from 1 species
AGGAUCAUUAUUGAAUUACCGGCGAGGGUUGUAGCUGGCCUUUCGGGGCACGUGCACGCCCGAGCCCUUAAUCCACACACACUUGUGAACCUAAUGUAAGGGCCUGUAAAAAGGGUCCCUACGUCUCAUUUCAUCGACGCAUGUCUCAUAGAAUGUAAAAUCGAUAUCUUCGCCUUAAAAAAGCGUCGGUAAACUUAUACAACUUUCAACAACGGAUCUCUUGGCUCUCGCAUCGAUGAAGAACGCAGCGAAAUGCGAUAAGUAAUGUGAAUUGCAGAUUUUCAGUGAAUCAUCGAAUCUUUGAACGCACCUUGCGCUCCUUGGUAUUCCGAGGAGCAUGCCUGUUUGAGUGUCAUUAAAUACCUCAACCCCGAUGGAUUUGUUUCUUUCGGGGCUUGGACUUUGGAGCGUGCUGGCGCGAGUCGGCUCCUCUCAAAUGCAUCAGCGGAAAUCAAUCUUUGGCUUUCGGACUUCAGUGUGAUAAUCACGUUGCGCUGUGGCACGAGCCUCAAGGUCCGCUUACAAUGGUCUUUGGACGAUUUCAUCGAAUUUGACCUCAAAUCAGGUAGGACUACCCGCUGAACUUAAGCAUAUCAAUA